AUCUAUGCUUAUACUUGAAUUGCCGUGGUUGAAUAUAAUGCAGAUACUUCUUUCAUGUGAAUUGGAGUCUAGAGGAAUUAUCUGUUCCUCAACCAAAUAUGUGAUGGCUUGAUCUAGUUUUGUUUUUCACAUGGGCAUUUUUCAUGAAAUUUUUGUGAGGCUUUAUUCAUGUUAACUAAGUGCAAGAGGUUAAUAUUCAGAUAUAAUGAUCUUUUGGGAAUCUAAAAUCAUUAGCUGCUAUCAGAUUUAUUCGAAGUUGUUGAUCAAAGAGCAAAGCUAGUUGCGAGUGAGUUGUCAGAUGAGCAGUCCAUAUAGCCACCAGGUAUGCAUCCCAAUGCAUGUAAUGGUUUUCUAUUUAACAAUGUGUUUUGUUUGUACCUAGAGGGGGAACACCAUUGUUUUGAGCAUUUACACGUGCUUUUCAUGGAUUUUAAUUUUUAUUUUAUUUUAUUUAAUUAAAUUUUUUUUUCUGGUUGUCUGCUACUUAACUUUUCUCUGUUUUCUUCUGGCAACAAAUAAGCUUCCAAUGGUAAAGAAACUCAAGCCAAGAGGGAGAAAUCAAGGGAGAAGGGUCAGUUGACACUCUCCACUGCUGAACCUCCUAAUCCUACAAGUGAUCCUGAACAUGAGCAGAGAGUAGACUAGCAUACAAGCAUCUGCAUCAAGUGUGACAUCUGAUAAAGAUGAAGAUGCCCCAUCUGAAAAUGCUACUGCCUUGUCCUCUAAUUUUAUAGACCAGAAAAGUAUAGAUGUUUUUGGCGAGUUGUGGAAAUUGAAACCAUUGCAAAGAGAAGGAAGUGCCAUUAUCAGUCGUCAGAUUUGAUGCCACUCGUGCAGGAUUUUAAUCAAUUGUGCCUAAAUUUAGGCCUACAAGCACUUCAGCCUUUUGACACCACUCAUGCUAGGAAUAGACCAAAUAAAGGAUUUGUUAUUUAUUUAUUUAUAUUCAGGACCAUUUUCAAUUUAUUUUAAUAAAUAUUAUAUAUAUUUU